GCUUUCUCGCAAGAGACUGCUGCGUAGGUGCUGCAUGGCUGUCGUCAGCUCGUGUCGUGAGAUGUUGGGUUAAGUCCCGCAACGAGCGCAACCCUUAUUGCCAGUUGCCAUCAUUUAGUUGGGCACUCUGGCGAAACUGCCCCGGAUAACGGGGAGGAAGGUGGGGAUGACGUCAAGUCCUCAUGGCCUUUAUGUCCAGGGCUACACACGUGCUACAAUGGCAGGUACAAACCGUCGCAAACCCGUGAGGGGGAGCUAAUCGGAAAAAGCCUGCCUCAGUUCGGAUUGUAGUCUGCAACUCGACUACAUGAAGCUGGAAUCGCUAGUAAUCGCAGAUCAGAACGCUGCGGUGAAUACGUUCCCGGGCCUUGUACACACCGCCCGUCACAUCACGAAAGUGGGUUGUACUAGAAGUCGGUGCGCUAACCGCAAGGGAGCAGCCGCCCAAGGUGUAACUCAUGAUUGGGGUGAAGUCGUAACAAGGUAGCCGUAGGAGAACC
rnacentral:rRNA from 1 species